rnacentral:rRNA from 1 species
AACGAACGCUGGCGGCAUGCCUAACACAUGCAAGUCGAACGAGACCUUCGGGUCUAGUGGAGCACGGGUACGUAACGCGUGGGAACCUGCCCUUAGGUUCGGAAUAACUCCCCGAAAGGGGUGCUAAUACCGGAUAAUGUCUUCGGACCAAAGAUUUAUCGCCCUUGGAUGGGCCCGCGUUGGUUUAGCUAGUUGGUAGCGUAAAAGCCUACCAAAGAGACGAACCAUAGCUGGGACUAGAGGAUGUUCAGCCACACUCGGACUGAGACACGGACCAGACUACCCCCGGAAGCAGCAAGUGGGAAUAUUUGACAAUUGGCGAAAGCCCAGUGCAUCUAUCACCCGGGAGCUGGGAAUGUCUGAGGGUUGUAAAUGCCUUUUACCCUGGAUGAUUAUCACAUGACCCGGGAGAAGAGCUCCGGCUAACUCCGUG